rnacentral:rRNA from 1 species
CGUUAAUUGAUAUGACGUACUUGUACUGAUUGAGAUUUAACACGAAGUGAGUGGCGAACGGGUGAGUAACACGUGGGUAACCUGCCCAGAAGUAGGGGAUAACACCUGGAAACAGAUGCUAAUACCGUAUAACAGAGAAAACCGCAUGGUUUUCUUUUAAAAGAUGGCUCUGCUAUCACUUCUGGAUGGACCCGCGGCGUAUAGCUAGUUGGUGAGGUAAAGGCUCACCAAGGCAGUGAUACGUAGCCGACCUGAGAGGGUAAUCGGCCACAUUGGGACUGAGACACGGCCCAGACUCCUACGGGAGGCAGCAGUAGGGAAUCUUCCACAAUGGACGCAAGUCUGAUGGAGCAACGCCGCGUGAGUGAAGAAGGGUUUCGGCUCGUAAAGCUCUGUUGUUAAAGAAGAACGUGGGUAAGAGUAACUGUUUACCCAGUGACGGUAUUUAACCAGAAAGCCACGGCUAACUACGUGCCAGCAGCCGCGGUAAUACGUAGGUGGCAAGCGUUAUCCGGAUUUAUUGGGCGUAAAGCGAGCGCAGGCGGUCUUUUAAGUCUAAUGUGAAAGCCUUCGGCUCAACCGAAGAAGUGCAUUGGAAACUGGGAGACUUGAGUGCAGAAGAGGACAGUGGAACUCCAUGUGUAGCGGUGAAAUGCGUAGAUAUAUGGAAGAACACCAGUGGCGAAGGCGGCUGUCUGGUCUGCAACUGACGCUGAGGCUCGAAAGCAUGGGUAGCGAACAGGAUUAGAUACCCUGGUAGUCCAUGCCGUAAACGAUGAUUACUAAGUGUUGGAGGGUUUCCGCCCUUCAGUGCUGCAGCUAACGCAUUAAGUAAUCCGCCUGGGGAGUACGACCGCAAGGUUGAAACUCAAAAGAAUUGACGGGGGCCCGCACAAGCGGUGGAGCAUGUGGUUUAAUUCGAAGCUACGCGAAGAACCUUACCAGGUCUUGACAUCUUCUGACAGUCUAAGAGAUUAGAGGUUCCCUUCGGGGACAGAAUGACAGGUGGUGCAUGGUGUCGUC